UUUUUUUUUAUUUUUUGGAUAAUCUGAAAUAUUUUUGUAAUAUAUUCUAGCUUGGAUUUAUAUGGUUUAGUGAACACCCACUUUUCUCAACAGGUUUGCAGCUUUUUAAGGUUGCACUCCUGCCAUGCAGUUCCCCUUGAGCUUCAAUUUGUGACAUUUGGAGAGAACUGCAGAUACUCUUUAGAGAUGGAUUUCCAGAUGCAUCUUUUCCUUUGUUAUUUCUCUAGGUAUGUGUAACCAGUCCUGUAAAAUGAUGUGUUUCUUAAUUUCAGUGGGAAUUGACAGUGCAGUGCAGAGUGCAAGCAGACUCAGAAUCACCACCUAAAACAGUGGAUGGAAAAGAAAACAUCAGAUUAAUCCAGAGUUCCUGUGAUUUGUGGAGUAGAACAACUAGUGCAGAUUUCAGUCUGCCUAAAAUAAUUUUCUCUGCUGGAUGAAGCAGAUUAUUACAAGUGGAAACAGCAGAUCUGUGAAGUCUAUUCUUCUGUCUAAAAAAUAGUUAAAGUUAGCCAAGAAGCUCAAAGUUCAGAGUGAGGAAUCAAUGGAUUACCAGACUUUUGUGUCACCCAGAGGUGAGAAAAACAACCAAAACAAA